UUUAAUGGGGUUUGAGUGAUCACAUGAAAUAUUAUACAAAUAUCUCUGCCAGAAAGGAGGUCAUGCCUACCACUCCUAGGGAAGAAGAGCUUUGUCACUAAUUGAUGUAAGAUUCUCAUUUCAAUUGAUAAAAUUUUGGCUUCCAAUUUAUUCAAACUUCCCGAGUAGGUUCCUCCUAGAAUUACACUGAUCCCCUCUUCCUUCACUGGGAGUUCCAUGUAAGAAUAUCCCUCACAGGGUAAAUGUAGUAUCUCUCCCAAUAUAAUAGGAUCCAGACAGAUAUCAACUCCCUUAACUGUAGAAGUUACUGUUUCAUUGCCAUAAUGUAGAUUUUGAUAAAAUUCUCUAACCAAGUCUACAAAAGUAACUUCCUUGAGAGAGCAGUAAAAACCCCAACCCUGGUUUUUUAUCUUUAUCCCAAAGGAGAAACCUUCUUUUUCAAAGAAUCUAAAAUCCACAUUCUUGCCGGUUUCAACCUUCCUAUC
rnacentral:lncRNA from 1 species